GAUGAAGAACGUAGCGAAAUGCGAUAAGUAGUGUGAAUUGCAGAAUUCAGUGAAUCAUCGAAUCUUUGAACGCACAUUGCGCCUUCUAGUAUUCUGGGAGGCAUGCCUGUUUGAGCGUCAUUAAACCUCUCUCAGGUAUGAUUACUUGGAUGUGAAGGAAGAGUACCUUAAACUUAAGGAGUGUUCUCCUUUGAAAUUGAUUAGCAGAUGGUAAUGUUAUUAAAUCCCUGAUGUUGUAAGAAAUAACAGUGGUUUUGUAGACUAUUAUCUAGCUUUAAAUUAUAAUUUUUAUUAUGGUUGACCUCAAAUCAGGUAAGGAUACCCGCUGAACUUAAGCAUAUCAAUAAGCGGAGGA
rnacentral:misc_RNA from 1 species